UGUUCCCCUUGGUGGCCAA
rnacentral:misc_RNA from 1 species